rnacentral:rRNA from 1 species
UUCAGUUACAUAGGAAUCGUACCCGAAACCGACACAGGUGGUCAGGUCGAGUAGACCAAAGCGCUUGAGAGAACUCUGCUGAAGGAACUAGGCAAAAUGGUACCGUAACUUCGGGAGAAGGUACGCUGCCGACGGUGAUAGGAUUUACUCCUUGAGCUAUUGGCAGCCACAGAAACCAGGCCCCUGCAACUGUUUAUUAAAAACAUAGCACUCUGCAAACACAAAAGUGGACGUAUAGGGUGUGAUGCCUGCCCGGUGCUGGAAGGUUAAUUGAUGGGGUUAGCGUAAGCGAAGCUCUUGAUCGAAGCCCCAGUAAACGGCGGCCGUAACUAUAACGGUCCUAAGGUAGCGAAAUUCCUUGUCGGGUAAGUUCCGACCUGCACGAAUGGCAUAAUGAUGGGGGCGCUGUCUCCAGCAGAGACUCAGUGAAAUCGAAUUCGCCGUGAAGAUGCGGUGUACCCGCGGCUAGACGGAAAGACCCCGUGAACCUUUACUGCAGCUUGACAUUGAACUUUGAUCUUACUUGUGUAGGAUAGGUGGGAGGCUUUGAAACCGAGACGCUAGUUUCGGUGGAGCCAAUCUUGAAAUACCACCCUGGUAAUAUUGAGGUUCUAACUCUGUCCCGUUAUCCGGGACGAGGACCGUGUCUGGUGGGUAGUUUGACUGGGGCGGUCUCCUCCUAAAGAGUAACGGAGGAGUACGAAGGUGCGCUCAGCGUGGUCGGAAAUCACGCGUAGAGUAUAAAGGCAAAAGCGCGCUUAACUGCGAGACCCACAAGUCGAGCAGGUACGAAAGUAGGUCUUAGUGAUCCGGUGGUUCUGUAUGGAAGGGCCAUCGCUCAACGGAUAAAAGGUACUCUGGGGAUAACAGGCUGAUACCGCCCAAGAGUUCAUAUCGACGGCGGUGUUUGGCACCUCGAUGUCGGCUCAUCUCAUCCUGGGGCUGAAGCAGGUCCCAAGGGUAUGGCUGUUCGCCAUUUAAAGAGGUACGCGAGCUGGGUUUAGAACGUCGUGAGACAGUUCGGUCCCUAUCUACCGUGGGCGUUGGAAAUUUGAGAGGAUCUGCUCCUAGUACGAGAGGACCAGAGUGGACGAACCUCUGGUGUACCGGUUGUGACGCCAGUCGCAUCGCCGGGUAGCUAUGUUCGGAAGGGAUAACCGCUGAAAGCAUCUAAGCGGGAAGCCUACCUCAAGAUAAGACUUCCCUAGGACUUUAUGUCCUCUAAAGAGCCGUUGAAGACUACGACGUUGAUAGGUUGGAUGUGGAAGCAUAGUGAUAUGUGAAGCUGACCAAUACUAAUUGCUCGUGAGGCUUGAUC